rnacentral:rRNA from 1 species
UCAGACGAUGCGUCAUGCAUAUCAAUAAGCGGAGGAAAAGAAACUAACAAGGAUUCCCCUAGUAACGGCGAGUGAAGCGGGAAGAGCUCAAAUUUGAAAUCUUAAAGGGUUUCCCUUUACGAAUUGUAGUUUAAAGAAGUGUUUUCUGUUGAGGUUUUGGUAAAAGUUCUUUGGAAUAGGACAUCAUAGAGGGUGAGAAUCCCGUAUUUGACCUUUACUUUCAACUUUGUGAUACACUUUCAAAGAGUCGGAUUGUUUGGGAAUGCAGUCCAAAAUGGGUGGUAAAUUUCAUCUAAAGCUAAAUAUUGGCGAGAGACCGAUAGCGAACAAGUACCGUGAGGGAAAGAUGAAAAGAACUUUGAAAAGAGAGUUAAACAGUACGUGAAAUUGUCAAAAGGGAAGCGUUUGACACCAGUGUUGUUUUUCUGAAAAUCAAUUAAAGAACUGUUUAUGCUAAGUUGUUUAGACUUUAUCAGCUAUCUGUUUAGUUUUGAGCUUUUCUUUAAUGCACUUUUCAGUUAACAAGUCAACAUCAAUUUCUUUUGCUGUAAAAAAGCUUGAGGAAGGUGGCUUGAGACUCGUCUUAAGUGUUUAUAGCCUCUUGCCUAUGCAGUCGGAGAGAUUGAGGUCUGCAGCGUAGAUCCUUCGGGGCUAAAUGCAUUUGUGCUAAGUUAUAGCAUUUUAUAGACAACUUGUUGACUAUGAUUUGUCUUGUAGCUUACUCGCUUAUGUUAUUUUACCUACGCUUAGGAUGUUGAAUCUGUGCGAGACUAC